rnacentral:rRNA from 1 species
UUGUUGGUAAGGUAAAAGCUUACCAAGGCUUCGAUCAGUAGCUGGUCUGAGAGGACGACCAGCCACACUGGGACUGAGACACGGCCCAGACUCCUACGGGAGGCAGCAGUGGGGAAUUUUGGACAAUGGGGGCAACCCUGAUCCAGCCAUGCCGCGUGAGUGAAGAAGGCCUUCGGGUUGUAAAGCUCUUUCAGCCGGAACGAAACGGUUACGGUUAAUACCCGUGACUACUGACGGUACCGGAAGAAGAAGCACCGGCUAACUACGUGCCAGCAGCCGCGGCAAUACGUAGGGUGCGAGCGUUAAUCGGAAUUACUGGGCGUAAAGCGUGCGCAGGUGGUUUUGUAAGUCAGAUGUGAAAGCCCCGGGCUCAACCUGGGAACUGCGUUUGAAACUACAAGACUAGAGUGUGGCAGAGGGGGGUGGAAUUCCGCGUGUAGCAGUGAAAUGCGUAGAGAUGUGGAGGAACACCGAUGGCGAAGGCAGCCCCCUGGGUUAACACUGACACUCAGGCACGAAAGCAUGGGGAGCAAACAGGAUUAGAUACCCUGGUAGUCCAUGCCCUAAACGAUGUCAACUAGUUGUCGGGCCUUUACGGGCUUGGUAACGUAGCUAACGCGUGAAGUUGACCGCCUGGGGAGUACGAUCGCAAGAUUAAAACUCAAAUGAAUUGACGGGGACCCGCACAAGCGGUGGAUUAUGUGGAUUAAUUCGAUGCAACGCGAAAAACCUUACCUACCCUUGACAUGUAUCGAAGCCCGCAGAAAAGCGGGGGUGCCCGAAAGGGAACGAUAACACAGGUGCUGCAUGGCUGUCGUCAGCUCGUGUCGUGAGAUGUUGGGUUAAGUCCCGCAACGAGCGCAACCCUUGUCAUUAAUUGCCAUCAUUUAGUUGGGCACUUUAAUGAGACUGCCGG